ACAGCAGUAGCCGCGGUAAUACGGAGGGAGCUAGCGUUAUUCGGAAUUACUGGGCGUAAAGCGCACGUAGGCGGCUUUGUAAGUUAGAGGUGAAAGCCUGGAGCUCAACUCCAGAAUUGCCUUUAAGACUGCAUCGCUUGAAUCCAGGAGAGGUGAGUGGAACUCCGAGUGUAGAGGUGAAAUUCGUAGAUAUUCGGAAGAACACCAGUGGCGAAGGCGGCUCACUGGACUGGUAUUGACGCUGAGGUGCGAAAGCGUGGGGAGCAAACAGGAUUAGAUACCCCUGUAGUCCCUGUCUCUUAUAU
rnacentral:rRNA from 1 species